UACGUAGGGUGCGAGCGUUAAUCGGAAUUACUGGGCGUAAAGGGUGCGUAGGUGGUGCUGUAAGUCUGACGUGAAAUCUCUGGGCUUAACCCAGAAUCCGCGCCAGGAACUGCAGUGCUGGAGUGUGGGAGAGGAGAGUGGAAUUCCCGGUGUAGCGGUGAAAUGCGUAGAUAUCAGGAAGAACACCCGUGGCUAAGGCGGCUCUCUAGUACGGUACUGACGCUGAGACGCGAAAGCGUGGGGAGCGAACAGG
rnacentral:rRNA from 1 species